rnacentral:rRNA from 1 species
UACGAAGGGGGCUAGCGUUGUUCGGAAUUACUGGGCGUAAAGCGCACGUAGGCGGAUUUGUUAGUCAGGGGUGAAAUCCCGGGGCUCAACCUCGGAACUGCCUUUGAUACUGCAAGUCUCGAGUCCGGAAGAGGUGAGUGGAAUUCCUAGUGUAGAGGUGAAAUUCGUAGAUAUUAGGAAGAACACCAGUGGCGAAGGCGGCUCACUGGUCCGGUACUGACGCUGAGGUGCGAAAGCGUGGGGAGCAAACAGGGAUAGAA